GCGCGCGCGCGCGCGCGUCAAAGAGCGAAGGGGAGGGACAGAACGCUUUAAUAUUUUUCAGUGACUUAGGAGCCCGCGGGUAAGCUUUUGGUUGUGCGUUGAGGUCCUUGUGUGGAUCAGUGUGGCUGUAGAUUUCUGGUUUACCCUGCGUGUGAAUGUCACGGGGCUUCCGGAGGGCGGGGGGGGCAGCUGGAUACUAGCUUGUGAAUGUGCUUCUGGGUCUCGGCGGGACUGAGUGAUGCGGUGCCUGCGUGGAGUGGUGUGUUUGUGUGCAAUUGUUUGUAGGGGGUAGUGUGGCUGCGUGGGUGGGACUGCGCCUGUGUGGGGUUGUGCGUGUAUGUAUGAGAUUGUGCCUGCGUGGGGCCGGGGGAGCUUUGUGCCCGUGCGGGCUUGUUUGCGAGUGGGCUGACGGUUGUGUGGGGCUGUGGGCUGCGCAUGGAGGGGCAGUGCGCCUGUGCGGUCUGUGGGCUGGCCAGAGGCAAUGGUCUGUAGCCGCCGGCGGCCGUGGGGCUGUGUUCUCUGUGCGGGUUUGAGGCCUGGAGGGCUGGGGCUAGCCCUCGUGGCGUCGGGGAUCGCACCGCCGCAGAAGAACCGCUUAAGGCGCGAACAAGCAGCGAUGGGGUCAAGGCGCAGCGCGACGUGUAGUAACGGAGGAAGGGGAAGGCGGAGGGAAAGGGGGGGCCUUCUUUCCGCGGCUCCCCUCGCCGCACCAGAGACGCAGCUCGGCGGAGAUCCUGCCACUUCCCGGUUCCAAGGUCCUAGAGGCACAGGAUUUGGGAGCCCCUGCCUGGCUGGGGAAGACGCCUACGGCCAAGGGGACAGCAGGGAACGACUCCCGGAGAGCCCAGAAGCACACGAGUAAGGCCACCCAGAGAGGCGGGUCGCAACCGGGAAAGAGCCAAGGACUAGGUCGAGACAAAGAAGACUGGGGGCCUUGGGGCUGGACUGCGGCCGAGGGGAGGCCUGCCCGAGCGCUAAAGGCCAGAGCGUGGUGUGGGGCGGCGGUGGCGCGACCCCAGUUCGCCCGAGUAUGGGGAGUCACUCCAGCGCCCCAGGGGCACAUAAUUACGCGCCCGGGGCGGGCCGCGGAAAGCCAGAUUCUGAGCGAGCUGGCGGUCACCUAGCCCCAGGGCUGUGAUUGAGUGUUUCUCUAGCCCGCCCCUUUUUAGGCUGCUCGUGGCCCAAACAACCAUUCAUUCAUCCAUCCCUCCAUUCAUUCAUCCAUCCAUCCAUCCAUCCACUCAUUCAUCCAUCCAUCCGUCCAACCACUCUUCUUUCCAUCCAUCUGAUUAUCCACGCCAAGGAUCACACUGACAGGGCUCCCCCCCCCCCUCACUUUGUCCCCUUGGUCAGACAGUCACAUUCUCUUAGGUCCCUACUUCCACUUCUUCCUGCUUGGCAGGAGAGGAGCACACCCCAGGGCCUCUAUCACUUCACACUUAGGGCUUGCACCCAAAAUUGUGUGCCAGGUGGGUGUGGGUACCUUCCUCCUGGCCCUCCCUGAAGCCUGAGGCUCAGUCCCCGCUGGCCUCCAGGUGGGUGUGGGUACCUUCCUCCUGGCCCUCCCUGAAGCCUGAGGCUCAGUCCCCGCUGGCCUCCAGGUGGGUGUGGAUACAUAUUGGUGCCUCCAGGUCACCGGUUGAGGACUGUAAGGGCCUGAUGACACAGAGGCAUCAUCAGAACCCCAGUGAACUGAAAGUUACUCAGAAACCUGUCAAAUAGGAACAGAUUCCUGGGCUGUAUCCCAGAUAGAGUCCUCAGAAUGCCCAGAGCCUCUGCCUGGGAAUCAGCAUCUUGCAGCCAGAUGUGGGGCACCACUGACAUGAUGCAUCUUACACCCUCCCCAGACCUUAGUGCUGCCCCCCAAGCAGCCGCCUAACGAGCAAGCCUUUCUAUCAGAAGUGAAUCCCCAAGACCCAGGGCAGCCCCAGCUCCUCUCUGGACUCGAGACUCCCCAUCUUUAAAACAGGGCUUCUUAGUGUCCACCUUUAAUUAUUGGGACUGGGAACAAGGGCGACCGGGUCCUGAGGCUGCUGGGGGAGCCAAGAGAAGGCCCACUGUGGGCACCAUUGAGCCUGGUGGCAGAAAACCCAAAUCCCUGCUGGGGACCACCAACCCCGUCAAAGAUGGACCCCUUAACCCCUGGCACAUCCUGGAUUAGCUGUCUGUCCUGGAGGGCAUGGACAAACUUACCUCCCUCCUGUUUGAGGGAUCAGAGGGAGAAAGUCCUCCUGGUAGCUUAUGGGACCCCCUCAUCCCAUCAGGCCCCCAAGACCUCCCUGAUCUCGUGGCCCACCCUUUCACCCUCACUCAUUGUGGAACCCCUCGCUAUUCCUUGAAUCCAACAGGUACCUUCUCACCUCAGAACCUGUGCACAUGUUGGUCCCCCUUUGCCUGGACCAACUUUCUAAGGCACUGCAGAAUUUACCUAUUCAUGUAUUUAUUUCAAGGGUAUUUUUUUGUUUGCUUCUUGGUGUCUCCACGGUGGGUGGGAAUGGUGCGGGUUCCCAUUUCUGUGUCUUGCUGAAGCAAGCCCCUGUCCUGACUGGGAAUGGGCUCCUCCUCUUUAAAUUGACAGCCCCCUUAGAGAAAACUGGAGUGGGCACAUGGAGAACCUCACAGCUGGGACAGGUCUCAUGACUCACCUGAGUCCCUCCAAGUACCUUUCAUGGAUUCUGGGGAUCUGUCCCAGGGGUCUACAGGGAUACAAUGGUGGUGGGGUGCCUUGUCACAGAGGAGAGCAGCGCCCUGCAUCUCACUGUUCUGCAGGUCUCUCUUUUGCUCCCUAGAGCUUCUUAAGGUAGUCCUGUGGCAGAGGAGCCCAGAUCCCAGAGGGCUGUCAAGGGUGGACGGAUGGAUUCCCCUACCUGGCCAAGGCCCUUCCAUAAGUGUCACUGCAGAGGGGUCACAGGACAGCACGAAAAAGCUGGGAUCGGUCCAUCCCUGAGAGGUGAAACCCAGGCUCAUGCCAAGGACCCAAAUAAAGACAGUCUGAUCCCACCUGACUGCAAGAUUCAACAGAGGCCUUGAUCACCUCUGCCCAACAUGGCACCUGGGUAGCUCAAUAUGUAUGGAUUAAAUGAACAGACGGAGUGGCGACGUCAAAAUUCACACUCAGGUCUGCAUGGCCCCCACACUUCUUCCUGUCCCAUCAGACCCUAUUAGUGGGAUUCCACGGGGUCACGGUGCAGCAUCAGCACACAGCACAAAUGACAUCCAUCAGGAGGAAAGGACCAGCAGAGGAGACAGCAUGGCGGGCAGGCGGGUGGGUUUUCUGCUCUCCCAGGAUCUAACUCCAACUUCUACCAUGUGGACCCUGCCCCAGGGGAGAGGGGAUCCCUGCUGCUUGGCUCAGGAGAGAUCUGUGGGGCAUCUGGGGGCUGCUCAUAGGUCUCAAAAGGCCUGGCACUUCCUGGUGAGGCGGGCCUGCGCUCUGAAGGGUCCUGGUCUGGGCAGGUCUCCUUUUGUUUGCCCUUUUGCUCUGAAUAGCUGCUUUCAUGCAAAGUGCAUUAUCCACCGAGACGGAAAAUGUAGAGGCGGCUGGGGGCACCAGAAGGAAUGCAAACUGAGGAUAAGGUUCACUGACAGGCCACCAGGGACAGGGUUAGCCAGGGGGUCACCAGGUGGGCAAGGAGUGGAGAAGAGGACUAUGGACUCCAUCCCAUACCAGAUGCAAACUCAAAUUCAAAAUCAGACCUGGGCUGGUACCCUCAGACUGCAAGUCUACAGGCCUGGAGGAAUGGGUGAAGGGUCAUAAAGUGGGUCAGGUUUUUCCUUUAUCAUCUUUUUUUUUUGGGGGGGGAGGUUUUAUCGGGCUUGUAACCAAUUUAUUGAAUAGGGGUGGCAAUUUCAAAUUUCUAUGUAUCUUAUUCCUCCCCACCAGUCACCUGCUGCAUUUCAGAGACUGGGUGACAGACAGGUGCAGAUGAUUGACUUUCCCAAGCUCACCCACUUGGAGUGUGGCGGAAUGAUUCAUCCAUUGGGUUGGCAAAUAUUUACUGAGCAUCUACUACAUGCUAGGCACUGUUUUUAUGUUGAGGAUUCAGAUCAAGGAAGGGGGCAAUGCUUCCAUUUUAGUCUUGGGACAGACCAGAAACAGACUGGAUAAGGAAAUGAUGUCUAGUCCUGUGGUUCAGUCGAGCAAUGCAUCCUUAGGCCCUUUUGUCAUGGUGUGAACAUCACUGAGUGUCCUUAUACAAAGUGAGACAGCUACCAAUGACACUAGGAAAUGUGGUCUUAUGGAACCCCUGUGGCACAUGUGGUCCGUCACUGGCUAAAACAUUAUGCGGUGCGUGACUAUAGAAUGUUACAUGUAGGUGAGGCAUGUUGUGGAAAAACAAAUAAAUAAAGCUAGGGAAGAAGGCUGGGAGCCUGGCAGGGCCAUGUUGACACUGGGUGGUCAGGGAACUCAUAUCUGACAACCAACUUGAAAGAUUAAGGUAGGAAGAGUGUAAAUACCUGGGGGAGGAGGGAGCUGUGUAUGUGGAAGCCACCGUAAGGGCAAAGGCCCUGAGGCAGAGCUGGAGUGAGCAAUGUGGCGAGUCAGAAGAAACUGGGGACAGAAAGGGGGCAAAAGGCCACCACACCCAUCGGGCCCUGUACCCCACUAUAAAGACUAAAUCUUUUACAGUACAUGAGAUGUGGGGUCUUUGUAGUGUUUUGAGCAGAGAAGGGACAUGAUUUCCCUUAGGUCCUCAUAGCGCCCCCUGGCGACCAUGAAGAGAAUGGACCCUUGAGCCAGAGCAGAAGCCAGAAGCCAGGAGGCCGAGGCCCCAUUUUUAGAGAAUGCACCGUGAACUGCGCCCUGACUGGGUACACCGCGGGUGACCCUCCCCAGUCACCUUCCUACCGUGGAAACCUCCGCCCACCCAUUUCAUGAGCAUAUUGACUUGGGCUGGUGGCUGCCAGACCUCCCUCUCCCACGGAUCCAGUUUUGUCUCCCAGACCAACCAAGAUCACCGAUUGCGCAAAUUUCUCCCUUGGCGUAUCCACUGCGUGCCAGGUGCUGUUGCUUGGGCCACUGGGAGACGGCCUCCACGGGUCUGGGGGGGGGUGCAUUUGACAAUCACAGCCCCGUGCCUUUCUGUCCCCAUCAGAACACUCUGACGCCCCACGCUCCCUCGGGGAGCUGGGCUACCAUGUGAAACUGAGCAGACGCCAGAAAACAUGUUUUUCUUUGAAGGCAAAGAACUUCAUAUUUCAGCUAGUGGAAGGCGGGGCGGUGGUGGGGAGCCAUCAGGAGUAUAAAUAUCCAAGUUCUCUUUAAGUUUUGGGCACAUUUUCAAAUAGCCUGCAUGUCCCCCUCCCCCCGAGUCCCCCUUCCUCCCCAAACCCCAGGGGCUGGCAGUAGAGGUGGGAGGAUAAGCCAGAGUGCCCGGGGAGGAGGUUCACGGUAGAAAGGCCACCCUGCUGUCCACCUCUCUCGCUGGGGCACAUCUCCAUCUCUUCCCCGGACUGGGGUCCACCCGACAAUGCUGGUGGCCGGGCCAGGACCAGUGCUCUUUCUGUUGCCUUUGAUCCGAGUGGUCUUGGAUCUCCUCUGUCUGCGGUUUCUCUGCCACCUGUCCUGCCACCUGUCCGUCCAUCCUUCCUUACGAGCCAGUGGGAGGCCAUCGGAGGAGGCCCAUGAAACUCCAGGCUCACGCAGGACCGAGUGAAAGGUGCGGCUCCUGAUUGUCCCCUGGGCCAGUCCCGGCACCGUCCCAUCAUGGCUGUUACCUGGGCACCUCUGCACCCCCUCUGGGCCCCUGUUUCUGGAGCUGAGAAGAGGGAUAUUGCUUUGGGCCCAGGGCUCUCCUCGCAGCUGGUGUUAGGAGAGAGAUGGAAAGCAGUUUUCCACACUGAAGCCCCAAAGGUGGAGGGCGAGGUUGCUGUCGCCCCCCAACGUCGCCAAGAGCUGGGGAAUCCUACCCUCCCAGCACACCUGAAAGCAGGUCUUUCACCCCGUCAACUCACAGAGCCCAGGGCCAGGCCCAACCAACCACGAGCAUUCGCUUCUGGUCCUGUUUCUGUCCACCCCUGAGGUGGAAAGGCGGAUGGUGGGGUGUUUUUUAGACGAUCCACAAGGCUCCUGCUAUGGUCUGGAACCACGAAUUCAUCUAGGACUCUAAUCCCAGAGUCUUUAUACUAAUCGUAUUAAGAGGGUGGAGAUUGCUGGGUGCCGUGGCACCCGCCUGUCAUCCCAGUGACUUGGGAGGCUGAGACAGGAAGAUUGCAAGUUCAAGGCCAGCCUGGGCCACUGGGGGAGACCCUGUCUCAAAAUAGAAAAUGAAAAGGGAUAGGGAGGUAGUUCAGUGGUAUAGCACCCCUGGCUUCCAACCCCACAGCCUCAGUAACAAAACAAAGAGGGCAGAAACUUAAUCCCACUAUGGCAUUUAGAGGUGGGGUCUCGGGAAGUGACUAGAUUAGGUCAUUGGAGUAGAGCCCCCCCCCAUAGCUUUAUGAGGUGAUGGAGAGGGACCACAGAGACACAGAUACAUAUUCUCACCACGAUAUGAUGCGGUCCCUAGGGGCUCUGCUAGAGCCUAUGCCCUGCUAUUUGAACCUUGAACCUCCAGAACCGUGAGCCAAAAUAAACCUCUUCUCUUUAUAAAGUAGUCUGCCCCCAGUGUUUCAUUAUAGUAACAAAAAACUGACUCACACAGCUCCCAAGACACGUGCCAAAAGACUCACGCCCAGAUACUUCACAUCGUGUUUUGGAACCCCAGUUUUCCCCACCUUUAAAAUGGGGGAAAAAAGCAGGGCCUGAUUCAUGUUGAGGAGGUACUCAGAAGUCAUGUUGUUGUGAGCCCUUGAGAAACGUCAGUCCUGAUGAUUGUCACUUCUCCCUGGUCCGUGGAGAGGUAAGGCUUCAAUCUCUGGGAUUGAAGGAUCACCUUCCAAUUUCACAGUGAUGAUCUGAACAUGGAACUGAGAAAUCCUACUCGCUUCUGUUGUCGGGUCAAGCCGAAGGCCACCCCCACUUUGACCCUCACGCCAAGUGACCACCACCAUGUGCCCUGGGCUACGAGUGCUCCAUCUCUUCAUGACCUCCCGGAGGCCAUGUGAGGGGCUCCUAGCUGCAGACCCAGAAACUGGGGUUCAGAGAGGGAGCUGAAGAAGGGUAGAAGCAACCGGAAGACAAGAUUUCACCUCCAUAUAAGGAAGAGCUUGCUAACAGGCCGAGUUGCCCAGAAAUGGAAGGGGUGAUCUGUGAUGGGCGGUGGUGAGCGGCCCGGGACUGCAGGCAUGCAAGGAGAAGGGGGCGGGCCGUGCCGGUGGGCGGCCGGGACACUGCCCAGGAGAAGACUGCUGGCAUCUCUGGUCCUGUGACUUGACCCAAGGCCACGUGAGCAGGAAUGGAAUUCCAGAAGGUCAGCGCUGGGGGCCAGGGCGGCUGCACUCCUGCUCCAAAUCCCCACGUGAAAAGUGGGGGACUGGAGAGAGGCCAAGUCCCCUCCCCAGGUCACAAGAAUUUCAUGUUUUGAGGCAAACACCUACCUUUAGUUUCGAGAAAGGUGUAAAAAAGACACAAAAAUAGAAAGAAGACGGCGGUCCAGAAUCAUCCUCCCCUGAAAGACUCUCAAUAUUUCCUUGCCAUCUUUUUGUGCAUGCCUCAAUUUUGGCUAGAAAUCCUAAUGUGCUUCAAAAUAAUUUUUAUUGAGAUAUGAU